CCUCAACUAUAUAUGGUAAGAAAUGAAAGGAAAAUAAGUUGUUGAUGGAGAGGAGAGUGUGGUAAUUAGAGAAAGCAGCAAGGUCAAAGUAGUUAUUUGUAUUUUUUUGAAGAAAUCUGGAUAAUAUGAAGGAAAAUUUGAAGAUGCUGGGAAGACACCUAAUAAAGGUAAAAGCAGUAUUGCUCCUAAUAUGGGUAGGUUUUUGUUUCUGAUAAAAGUAACAGGUAUUUUUAAGAAUUUUUGUAAGUGAAAUAAGGCUAUUUCCCUCUUUGUCUACUGUUGUCCUUUAAAAGUUUUUAUAUAUUUCUUUGUUUACAGCUUCAGAACUAGCAAAAACACCAAAAAAAAGUGUUUCAUUCAGUUUGAAGAAUGAUCCUGAGAUAACAAUGAAUGUUCCUCAAAGUAGCAAGGGACAUUCUGCUUCAGACAAGGUUCAGCUGAAGAGCAAUGACAAAAGUGAAUUUCUGUCAACAGCACCUCGUAGUCUAAGAAAAAGAUUAAUAGUUCCAAGGUCUCCUUCUGACAGUGAAAGCGAAUAUUCUGCUUCCAACUCAGAGGAUGAUGAAGGGGUUGCACAGGAAUAUGAAGAGGACACUAAUGCAGUCAUAUUCAGCCAAAAGAUUCAAGCUCAGAAUAGAGUAGUUUCAGCUCCUGUUUGCAAAGAAACACCUUCUAAAAGAAUGAAAAGAGAUAAAACAAGUGACUUAGUAGAAGAAUAUUUUGAAGCUCACAGCAGUUCAAAAGUUUUAACCUCUGAUAGAACACUGCAGAAGCUAAAGAGAGCCAAACUGGAUCAGCAAACUUUGCGUAGCUUAUUGAGCAAGGUUUCUCCUUCCUUUUCUGCCGAACUUAAACAACUAAAUCAACAGUAUGAAAAGUUAUUUCAUAAAUGGAUGCUGCAAUUACAGUAAGUAUUAUUACAAACCCUUGUAAAAUAAUCAUAUAUAAUUUUACACGAAUCUUUAUGUUAAAUCAAAGUAAGUUAACAUCUUUUUACAGUG
rnacentral:lncRNA from 1 species